CAUAUAUAAUAAUUUUGUAAAUGCCGAACUAGAAGUCAUUUUGGAGGAAGGCCCGGAUGGAGAAAGCGCACCGGAGAAGGUCAAAGAAUCAUCUUUAGAAAUACUAUUACCACUCAAGAUGGGCCCCUUUAAACCCAAACAUCCAAGAAAGGAGAGAAGAUUUAGAUCCUUACCAAAGAGCCAACCUCUAAAACUGAAAGAUUCACCCAAACAAUUUAUGCAUGGCAA